GCCAGGCGUGGUGGCGCAUGCCUGUAAUCUCAGCUGCAUGGGAGGCUGAGGCAGGAGGAUGGCAAGUUCAAAGCCAGCCUCAGCAACAAUGAGAAACUAAACAACUCAGUGAGACCCUGUCUCUA
rnacentral:sRNA from 1 species